UCCUGGCUGGCUCAGUUGGAAGAGCACGUGACUUGUGAUCUCAGGGUCAUGAGUUUGAGCCCCAUGUUGGGUG
rnacentral:tRNA from 1 species